ACCACAGGGGAACUCUGACAGCCAU
rnacentral:misc_RNA from 1 species